GGUGAGAGUCAGAAGAAGAGAUCCUAUAAUGAGAGGGUUUAUGUUUCAGAAAGUGUCUUCAAUUUAGAUCCUCCUUUGCCAGUGGUUAGGUCAUCACCCAGAGUUAGUACAGACGGCAGUGAUACAAUUAGUCUUUGGAAACGAAGAUGUGGAGGAGAGGAUUUGGAAGCUCUACAGCUUCAACAAAGAAACCCUUCUUGUGUUCUUGGACCCACCACCCUUUGAGAGAAACUGAGAAAUAAGAGAAAUCUCAUAAGUUUU